rnacentral:rRNA from 1 species
CAUAUCAAUAAGCGGAGGAAAAGAAACCAACAGGGAUUGCCCCAGUAACGGCGAGUGAAGCGGCAAUAGCUCAAAUUUGAAAUCUGGCUCUUUUAGGGUCCGAGUUGUAAUUUGCAGAGGGCGCUUUGGCGUUGGCAGCGGUCCAAGUUCUUUGGAACAGGACGUCACAGAGGGUGAGAAUCCCGUACGUGGUCGCUAUCCUUCGCCGUGUAAAGCCCCUUCGACGAGUCGAGUUGUUUGGGAAUGCAGCUCUAAAUGGGAGGUAAAUUUCUUCUAAAGCUAAAUACUGGCCAGAGACCGAUAGCGCACAAGUAGAGUGAUCGAAAGAUGAAAAGCACUUUGGAAAGAGAGUCAAAUAGCACGUGAAAUUGUUGAAAGGGAAGCGCUUGCAGCCAGACUUGCCUGUAGUUGCUUAUCCAGACUUUUGUCUGGUGCACUCUUCUGCGGGCAGGCCAGCAUCAGUUUGGGCGGUUAGAUAAAGGUCUCUGUCAUGUACCUCUCUUCGGGGAGGCCUUAUAGGGGAGACGACAUGUAACCAGCCUGGACUGAGGUCCGCGCAUCUGCUAGGAUGCUGGCGUAAUGGCUGUAAGCGGCCCGUCUUGAAACACGGACCAAGGAGUCUAACAUCUAUGCGAGUGUUUGGGUGUCAAGCCCAGACGCGUAAUGAAAGUGAACGGAGGUAAGAACCCUUUGGGUGCAUUAUCGACCGAUCCUGAUGUCUUCGGAAGGAUUUGAGUAAGAGCAUGGCUGUUGGGACCCGAAAGAUGGUGAACUAUGCUUGAAUAGGGUGAAGCCAGAGGAAACUCUGGUGGAGGCUCGCAGCGGUUCUGACGUGCAAAUCGAUCGUCAAAUUUGGGCAUAGGGGCGAAAGACUAAUCGAAC